rnacentral:tRNA from 1 species
GAGGCUGUAGCUCAAGUGGAAGAGUGCCCAUCUUGCAUGUGUGAGGUUCUGGGUUCAAUCCUCAGCACCACA